GGGGAAUAUUGGACAAUGGGGGAAACCCUGAUCCAGCAAUGCCGCGUGUGUGAAGAAGGCCUUCGGGUUGUAAAGCACUUUCAAUAGGGAGGAAAAGCUGUGCGUUAAUAGCGUAUAGCCGUGACGUUACCUAUAGAAGAAGCACCGGCUAACUCCGUGCCAGCAGCCGCGGUAAUACGGAGGGUGCAAGCGUUAAUCGGAAUUACUGGGCGUAAAGCGCGCGUAGGCGGUUUGCUAAGUCAGAUGUGAAAUCCCCGGGCUCAACCUGGGAAUGGCAUUUGAGACUGGUAGGCUAGAAUGUGGUAGAGGUGAGUGGAAUUCCAGGUGUAGCGGUGAAAUGCGUAGAGAUCUGGAGGAACAUCAGUGGCGAAGGCGACUCACUGGGCCAUUAUUGACGCUGAGGUGCGAAAGCGUGGGUAGCAAAC
rnacentral:rRNA from 1 species